UCUGGGAUAUGAUGCCACCACAAUGUAAUUAUCUAAGGCAGCAGCGUUGCUGAGUACAUUUUUUGCACGUCAGUCUGAUCCCAAC
rfam:Eucalyptus grandis cultivar BRASTZ1 unplaced genomic scaffold scaffold_1, whole genome shotgun sequence.